GUGGAAUCCACAAGUAGCGGUAAUAGAAUGAAUGCAUCUGAGUGGCGUAUAAAUGUUCGAGCCGUUAGCGACGCUGGUUGCCGGUCGGAUCUCUGCGUUAGUAAAGAUGGAAGGGCGGCGAGUGGAAUUGUUGCAGGAGGUGGGGCCGAAGCCGGUGGAAAGUGCAAUGGCUCCGAAAGAAGAUUUGCGAGUAGAAUUGGGCAGUGACAAUCAAAAAUUACUGAAUGAGAUGGCCCAACAAAAUCAACUACUGCUGCCUUCCCUCUACUCGAGGGCAUCACCAGUGAAAGCUACCCCUGAUAUGCAGCCAAGCAGUUGCCAGUGGUACCUAGAAGCCAUGCAUAAUGCUAUUCUGAAGAAUCAAGAAGCUCUGCGUAUGGUGUUGACCAACCAGGAUACGUUAAAGAAUCUUGUGCAUCAGCUCCAGAACACUAUGUCUUCUAUUGAGGAUCGAGUCCAAGCUAUUGAACAAGAAAUGAGCAUCUUUGCUCAGUUCAACAAAGAAAUAGAUCAACUUGGAGAUGAAACUAACCUCAAUGAGAUUGCUUUUUACCCAUAGAGUCCAAUUACCAUAUCACCACCACCCUUUCACUGAUCUGACUUUUAGCACAUACACUGUGCAAUAGAAACAAAUGUGAUAUUUGGCCUGUACAGAUAUAAUUGCUGUUGUUCCUAGAACCUGUUUAACCGACUCUAUUUUCAAUUGGCUUACAGAGAAUUCUUUCCUCCUGAAUCAAAAUGUGGUUUCUCCUAAGAUACAAUUAGCCUCUGGCCCACUGUUUCAGAACCUCACCAACUAAGAUACAGAUUUCUACUCCCAAUGUAAGAGUUGAAAUCCAUGCAUCCUAAUGUUUCUGAGGUGAAAAACGUUAACAAGUUACUUAAAGAAGCCUCUUGCUGUCAGGACAUCUCAUCUGCAUUAUAUGUAGUUCAUAAUCCUCAGCUUUCUGAAUGUUUGUUCUGAGGGAGGCCUAAGCUCUUUCCUCUUCUGAGAAACAGCUUGAAAAAUGCUACGCAAGAAUCUUCACUUUUCUUCCCUUAAAUAGCACAUAAAUGUUUUGAACAUCUGGAAAAUUGGUCAGAUAUGAGCCAAAUGAAAAAUUCAGAACUGCCUUUUAUUCUGUCCCUAUUUCAGCCAUGCUAGCUCACAUACAUGGCACUACUAAUUAAUUCUAGUGUUAAUUAGGAGGAAAUGCUUCCUUGAUCAGAUUUCAACAGUGAAACAAUAUUGAUGUUGAAUUUCAUGUAAUCUUAAUCCAGAAUGGUUAUCUGACACAUUCUGUGGUAGUACCAUAACUCUUUACUUGGGAUACAGUCUUGUGAAGGGCAGUCUGCUGUGGAAAAUAUGCUCUAAAUGAACACUGAAUUAAAUACAUGCUGUCAGAGGUGAUAGUUCCAACUUAUGGGUAGUUCUGUGAAUGUACUUUGACAUUAAACACAAUGGAAUGACAUU
rnacentral:lncRNA from 1 species